rnacentral:misc_RNA from 1 species
GUGGAUUUGGACCUGUCUUUAGGGUAAACUUCUUCCUUUCUAUCUCCCUCUCUCUAAUUGGGUGUACUGGUGAACCCCAAAUUCUAGUUGGUUACUUUGAAAAUCGGUGAAUGGAAUUGAACAAGGUUUUAUGGCUUGUUGGGGUUUUGUGUUCAGGAACUGAUGGGAUGUUGGGUGUCUUUUGUUCAAUUUUGUUUAUCUAUUAUUUUAGUGUCCUUAGCAUUUUUAUACGCAUGG